rnacentral:rRNA from 1 species
UACGUAGGGGGCUAGCGUUGUCCGGAUUUAUUGGGCGUAAAGAGCGUGUAGGCGGCCAGGUAGGUCUGCUGUGAAAACUCGAGGCUCAACCUCGAGACGUCGGCGGAAACCAUCUGGCUAGAGUCCGGAAGAGGAGAGUGGAAUUCCUGGUGUAGCGGUGAAAUGCGCAGAUAUCAGGAAGAACACCCGUGGCGAAGGCGGCUCUCUGGGACGGUACUGACGCGAGACGCGAAAGCGUGGGGAGCGAACAGG